rnacentral:rRNA from 1 species
GGUUAAGCGACUAAGCGUACACGGUGGAUGCCCUGGCAGUCAGAGGCGAUGAAGGACGUGCUAAUCUGCGAUAAGCGUCGGUGAGGUGAUAUGAACCGUUAUAACCGGCGAUUUCCGAAUGGGGAAACCCAGUGUGUUUCGACACACUAUCAUUAACUGAAUCCAUAGGUUAAUGAGGCGAACCGGGGGAACUGAAACAUCUAAGUACCCCGAGGAAAAGAAAUCAACCGAGAUUCCCCCAGUAGCGGCGAGCGAACGGGGAGGAGCCCAGAGCCUGAAUCAGUGUGUGUGUUAGUGGAAGCGUCUGGAAAGGCGCGCGAUACAGGGUGACAGCCCCGUACACAAAAAUGCACAUAUUGUGAGCUCGAUGAGUAGGGCGGGACACGUGGUAUCCUGUCUGAAUAUGGGGGGACCAUCCUCCAAGGCUAAAUACUCCUGACUGACCGAUAGUGAACCAGUACCGUGAGGGAAAGGCGAAAAGAACCCCGGCGAGGGGAGUGAAAAAGAACCUGAAACCGUGUACGUACAAGCAGUGGGAGCCUCUUAAUGGGGUGACUGCGUACCUUUUGUAUAAUGGGUCAGCGACUUAUAUUCUGUAGCAAGGUUAACCGAAUAGGGGAGCCGAAGGGAAACCGAGUCUUAACUGGGCGUUAAGUUGCAGGGUAUAGACCCGAAACCCGGUGAUCUAGCCAUGGGCAGGUUGAAGGUUGGGUAACACUAACUGGAGGACCGAACCGACUAAUGUUGAAAAAUUAGCGGAUGACUUGUGGCUGGGGGUGAAAGGCCAAUCAAACCGGGAGAUAGCUGGUUCUCCCCGAAAGCUAUUUAGGUAGCGCCUCGUGAAUUCAUCUCCGGGGGUAGAGCACUGUUUCGGCAAGGGGGUCAUCCCGACUUACCAACCCGAUGCAAACUGCGAAUACCGGAGAAUGUUAUCACGGGAGACACACGGCGGGUGCUAACGUCCGUCGUGAAGAGGGAAACAACCCAGACCGCCAGCUAAGGUCCCAAAGUCAUGGUUAAGUGGGAAACGAUGUGGGAAGGCCCAGACAGCCAGGAUGUUGGCUUAGAAGCAGCCAUCAUUUAAAGAAAGCGUAAUAGCUCACUGGUCGAGUCGGCCUGCGCGGAAGAUGUAACGGGGCUAAACCAUGCACCGAAGCUGCGGCAGCGACGCUUAUGCGUUGUUGGGUAGGGGAGCGUUCUGUAAGCCUGUGAAGGUGUGCUGUGAGGCAUGCUGGAGGUAUCAGAAGUGCGAAUGCUGACAUAAGUAACGAUAAAGCGGGUGAAAAGCCCGCUCGCCGGAAGACCAAGGGUUCCUGUCCAACGUUAAUCGGGGCAGGGUGAGUCGACCCCUAAGGCGAGGCCGAAAGGCGUAGUCGAUGGGAAACAGGUUAAUAUUCCUGUACUUGGUGUUACUGCGAAGGGGGGACGGAGAAGGCUAUGUUGGCCGGGCGACGGUUGUCCCGGUUUAAGCGUGUAGGCUGGUUUUCCAGGCAAAUCCGGAAAACCAAGGCUGAGGCGUGAUGACGAGGCACUACGGUGCUGAAGCAACAAAUGCCCUGCUUCCAGGAAAAGCCUCUAAGCAUCAGGUAACAUCAAAUCGUACCCCAAACCGACACAGGUGGUCAGGUAGAGAAUACCAAGGCGCUUGAGAGAACUCGGGUGAAGGAACUAGGCAAAAUGGUGCCGUAACUUCGGGAGAAGGCACGCUGAUAUGUAGGUGAAGCGACU